rnacentral:rRNA from 1 species
GACGAACGCUGGCGGCGUGCCUAAUACAUGCAAGUUGAGCGCUGAAGGUUGGUACUUGUACCGACUGGAUGAGCAGCGAACGGGUGAGUAACGCGUGGGGAAUCUGCCUUUGAGCGGGGGACAACAUUUGGAAACGAAUGCUAAUACCGCAUAAAAACUUUAAACACAAGUUUUAAGUUUGAAAGAUGCAAUUGCAUCACUCAAAGAUGAUCCCGCGUUGUAUUAGCUAGUUGGUGAGGUAAAGGCUCACCAAGGCGAUGAUACAUAGCCGACCUGAGAGGGUGAUCGGCCACAUUGAGACUGAGACACGGCCCAAACUCCUACGGGAGGCAGCAGUAGGGAAUCUUCGGCAAUGGACGAAAGUCUGACCGAGCAACGCCGCGUGAGUGAAGAAGGUUGUCGGAUCGUAAAACUCUGUUGGUAGAGAAGAACGUUGGUGAGAGUGGAAAGCUCAUCAAGUGACGGUAACUACCCAGAAAGGGACGGCUAACUACGUG